UGGGGAAUAUUGCACAAUGGAGGGAACUCUGAUGCAGCGACGCCGCGUGAGUGAUGAAGGAAUUCGUUUCGUAAAACUCUGUUCUAUGGGAAGAAAAGGACUGUACCAUAGGAGAAAGCUCCGGCGAAAUACGUGCCAGCAGCCGCGGUAAUACGUAUGGAGCGAGCGUUGUCCGGAAUUAUUGGGCGUAAAGGGUGCGCAGGCGGCUUUACAAGUUGGAUGUGAAAUAUUGUGGCUCAACCACAAACGUGCAUCCAAAACUGCAAAGCUUGAGUUAAGGAGAGGUAAGUGGAAUUCCUGGUGUAGCGGUGGAAUGCGUAGAUAUCAGGAGGAAUACCGGUGGCGAAGGCGACUUACUGGACUUAAACUGACGCUCAGGCACGAAAGCGUGGGGAGCAAACAGG
rnacentral:rRNA from 1 species